rnacentral:rRNA from 1 species
UACGAAGGGGGCUAGCGUUGCUCGGAAUCACUGGGCGUAAAGCGCACGUAGGCGGCUUUCUAAGUCAGGGGUGAAAUCCUGGAGCUCAACUCUAGAACUGCCUUUGAUACUGGAGAGCUCGAGUCCGGAAGAGGUGAGUGGAACUCCGAGUGUAGAGGUGAAAUUCGUAGAUAUUCGGAAGAACACAGUGGCGAAGGCGGCUCACUGGUCCGGUACUGACGCUGAUGUGCGAAAGCGUGGGGAGCAAACAGG